rnacentral:sRNA from 1 species
GUUAGCGCAAAAUCGCUGACCGGGUUUGGCGACCUGAAUAUACCAAGGCGCUUGAUAACCGCGCCAUUUUUGGACGCGGUUUUUCU